ACGGGUGAGUAAUAUAUCGGAACGUGCCCAGUCGUGGGGGAUAACGUAGAGAAAUUUACGCUAAUACCGCAUACGAUCUAAGGAUGAAAGCGGGGGAUCGCAAGACCUCGCGCGAUUGGAGCGGCUGAUAUCAGAUUAGGUUGUUGGUGAGGUAAAAGCUCACCAAGCCGACGAUCUGUAGCUGGUUUGAGAGAACGACCAGCCACACUGGGACUGAGACACGGCCCAGACUCCUACGGGAGGCAGCAGUGGGGAAUUUUGGACAAUGGGCGAAAGCCUGAUCCAGCAAUGCCGCGUGCAGGAAGAAGGCCUUCGGGUUGUAAACUGCUUUUGUACGGAGCGAAACGGCUCUUUCUAAUAAAGAGGGCUAAUGACGGUACCGUAAGAAUAAGCACCGGCUAACUACGUGCCAGCAGCCGCGGUAAUACGUAGGGUGCGAGCGUUAAUCGGAAUUACUGGGCGUAAAGCGUGCGCAGGCGGUUAUAUAAGACAGUUGUGAAAUCCCCGGGCUCAACCUGGGAAUUGCAUCUGUGACUGUAUAGCUAGAGUACGGUAGAGGGGGAUGGAAUUCCGCGUGUAGCAGUGAAAUGC
rnacentral:rRNA from 1 species